AUACGGAGGGUGCAAGCGUUGUUCGGAAUUACUGGGCGUAAAGGGCGCGCAGGCGGCCUGCCAAGUCAGAUGUGAAAUGCCAUGGCUUAACCAUGGACGUGCAUUUGAAACUGGUGGGCUUGAGUACCAGAGGGGAAGGCGGAAUUCCCGGUGUAGAGGUGAAAUUCGUAGAUAUCGGGAGGAAUACCGGUGGCGAAGGCGACUUUCUGGCUGGAUACUGACGCUGAGGCGCGAAAGCGUGGGGAGCAAACAGGAUUAGAUACCCUGGUAGUCCACGCUGUAAACGAUGUGAACUAGAUGUAGGGGGUGUUGAUCCCCUCUGUGUCGCAGCUAACGCAUUAAGUUCACCGCCUGGGGAGUACGGUCGCAAGAUUAAAACUCAAAUGAAUUGACGGGG
rnacentral:rRNA from 1 species